GUAGGUGGCAAGCGUUGUCCGGGAAUUAUUGGGGCGUAAAGCGCGCGCAGGCGGUUCUUUAAGUCUGAUGUGAAAGCCCACGGGCUCAACCGUGGAGGGUCAUGGAAACUGGAGAACUUGAGUACAGAAGAGGAAAGCGGAAUUCCACGUGUAGCGGUGAAAUGCGUAGAGAUGUGGAGGAACACCAGUGGCGAAGGCGGCUUUCUGGUCUGUAACUGACGCUGAGGCGCGAAAGCGUGGGGAGCAAACAGGAUUAGAUACCCUGGUAGUCCACGCCGUAAACGAUGAGUGCUAAGUGUUAGGGGGGUUUCCGCCCCUCAGUGCUGCAGCUAACGCAUUAAGCACUCCGCCUGGGGAGUACGGCCGCAAAGGCUG
rnacentral:rRNA from 1 species